AUGGAAAUCGUGCGAUCCCAACGGCAGCUCGCGGCGGCGGCCGCAGCCGCCAGCGGCGGAGGCAGCGGCGCGGGUGCCCUGCCAACGUACCGUGUGGCGCCGCAGCUGGAGGUGCGGCUGGAGGAGUUCGAGCUCUUCGCCAUCGACCGCCUGCGAGUCCUGAAGGGGAUCUCGGAUGGGCUUUCGCGGGGGAAGAGGCCGGAGGAGAUGGAGAAACUGGUAAGCGAAUUGUGGAAGGCACAUAUGAGGCACCAGGAUCCAGCAGAGACUUUGAACAAGGACUUAAUAUCUCACUUUGUGCUCCGUCUUGUAUACUGCAGAACGGAGGAAUUGCGUAAGUGGUUUCUCUCCAUGGAAAAUACACUGUUUCGGUAUCGCUUUCGUCUCGAGAGUCCUGAAUCACAGAGGCUUCUUAUGAGUGAGUUUCAGCUUCCAUACAAAGCAUUGCCACACUCAGAAUUCGAGGCUGUGAAAGAUAAGUUAAGCCAAGUUGCACGGUCCAUCGGUCAAUCGGCAAGCGUUGAAUCUGUGUUCUUCAAGGUACCUUUUGAAGAAGUUCCAGAUCUUGUUGCCAGCCGCCGAGUAUUCCUUUCAAAGGGCUAUGCUUAUGUUGCGAUGAGUCAGGUGGUUUCACUUGUGGUAACCCAGUUCCGCUGCAAUAUCUCAAAGGCACUUGUUUUAACAAAUAGGAAAUGGACUGCGACCAUUAAGGAGCAAGAAAAGGACAGGUUGACUCCUAUUGUUGAGGCGUUAAGCAAUGCGUAUUUUGGACCUGAUUACUCUCAGCCAAAUGAUGCUACUGAGAUUUCGUCGAAGGAUAUUGAUCAACUGGCUAGAACUUCUUUCCCUCUUUGUAUACGCCAUAUGCUAGAGAAGUUGAGAGAAAACCAUCAUCUCAAACACGGGGGUAGAAUGCAGUUUGGUCUUUUCCUCAAGGGUGCUGGGCUAAAGCUGGAGGAUGCUCUCACAUUUUGGAGAUCAGAAUUCUCUCAGAAGGUUGGCUCUGAGCGAUUUGACAAGGAAUAUGCAUAUACUAUCAGACACAAUUAUGGAAAAGAAGGAAAACGAACGGAUUACACUUCAUAUUCAUGUCAAAAGAUCAUAUCCGCUACACCUGGUGUUGGUGAUCAUCAUGGUUGCCCUUAUCGACAUUUUGGUGAAGAGAACCUGAGAGCAGCUCUCAACAAUAUGGGUGUUGGUGGAAAUGCUUUGGAAGGGAUACUCGAUAAAGUGAAGAACAGGCAUUACCAGCUAGCUUGCACAAUGACUUUUGAGGCAACUCAUGGUGUCUCAUGUGAUACCGGAAUCAAUCAUCCUAAUCAGUAUUUCAGCGAAAGCCAGAAAGUCUUGCAAGCUAAGAACCAAACAGUGCAGAGUCAGUUAUCGACCUAA
rnacentral:rRNA from 1 species